AUAUGUUAUCAAGUUAUUAAUUUUAAUAGAACGCAGAUCUUGAAAAUGAAAAGAGAGAACUUGAACGUACUGUGAAUGAAUUGAAAGCCAAAUGUGAAUCGAUUGAAAAGAGGGAAGCAGAGAGAAGACAGGUUGAAGAAAAGAAACAUUCCGAGGAAAUCCAAUUCUUAAAACGAACAAAUCAACAACUGAAGACUCAAUUGGAAGGUAUAAUAGCACCAAAGAAGUGACACACGAAAGAAUCUUUUUGCAUUUUCUACUUCGCCGACGGACUUCCCAAGAUUUUGACAAAACUAUUGAUGAUGUACAGCUUCUAAAUUAUAACCAGCUGUUUUAUAUUGUUUAUUCCCUUAUGGAAUGAUAUGUAAAUAAAUAUUAAUAGUUUAAUUGUGA